rnacentral:rRNA from 1 species
CCAAUAGCGUAUAUUAAAGUUGUUGCAGUUAAAAAGCUCGUAGUUGAAUUUCGGGAUCAGUUCGCUGGUCGUGCCUCUGGUAUGUACUGGUGUUACUGGUUCCUCCCUUCUGAAGAACCAUCAUGUCAUUAAUUUGGUGUGGCGGGAAAUCAGGACUGUUACUUUGAAAAAAUUAGAGUGUUUAAAGCAGGCUCGCGCUUGAAUACAUUAGCAUGGAAUAAUGAAAUAGGACGUUUGAUCCUAUUUUGUUGGUUUCUAGGAUUGACGUAAUGAUUAAUAGGUAUAGUUGGGGGCAUUAGUAUUCAAUUGUCAGAGGUGAAAUUCUUGGAUUUAUUGAAGACUAACUACUGCGAAAGCAUUUGCCAAGGAUGUUUUCAUUAAUCAAGAACGAAAGUUAGGGGAUCGAAGACGAUCAGAUACCGUCGUAGUCUUAACCAUAAACUAUGCCGACUAGGGAGCGGAUGAUGUUAAUUUUUUAAUGACUCAUUCGGCGCCUUACG